CGCAAGUCACCGCCUAAUCGUUCACUCGCGAGAGUGUUCGUACCGGGAACCCGAUAUCUACUGGGGUGAAUCCCGCUGAGCCACCACACGGUGGCCGGUGGGUAGGGCUGCUCUUCCCAGCCCGAACCCGUCAGCUAACUCGGUCGGCGGACGAUAGGAAGA
rnacentral:sRNA from 2 species